rnacentral:rRNA from 1 species
AGAAUGAACGCUAGCGAUAUGCUUAACACAUGCAAGUUGAACGUUGUUUUCGAAUCAGAAUGAGAACAAAGUAGCGAACGGGUGCGUAACACGUGGGAAUCUGCCGAACAGUUUGGGCCAAAUCCCGAAUGAAUAAAAGCUAAAAAGCGCUGUUUGAUGAGCCCACGUAGUAUUAGGUAGUUGGUUAGGUAAAAGCUGACCAAGCCUACGAUGCUUAGCUGGUCUUUUCGGAUGAUCAGCCACACUGGGACUGAGACACGGCCCAGACUCCUACGGGAGGCAGCAGUGGGGAAUCUUGGACAAUGGGCGAAAGCCUGAUCCGGCAAUAUGGCGUGAGUGAAGAAGGGCAACGCAGCUUGUAAAGCUCUUUCAUCGAGUGUGCGAUUGUGACAAGACUCGAAUAAGAACGCCCCGGCUAACUCCGUGCCAGCACGCCGC